GGUCUGUAGCAGUCCCAAAAAGCAUUUCACUGCAUAUCAUACCGUGUAUGACUAUGUAUGUGACAAAUAAAAAUUGAAUUUGAAUUUGAUUAGAAACACUAAAGAUGUUUCUUGCAAUGGAUUCUUCAAAAUGGCCUACAUCUUAGUCUCCGACUAAGAGUAGACAGAGUAGAUGUGUUCAAAAGUUUGACUGGUAGCGUAUUGAUCUUAUUUGGUCAUAAACUGCAGCGUUUAUGACUGUAAGUGAGAUCUACUCUGGUGUUACUAGACAUAAAUUUGUUGUUUCUUCUUUAAAACAUAUAAUUAUUAAUCGACUUACAUGUAGUUUCCAUAGCACCAUCUUUUGUGCAUUUUGUUUGGUGAAUAUUGUAAUGACCUUUUCAUUACAAGGGUAUGGCAAUAGAUGGCAGUAAUGACCUUGUCAUGACCAAGGAAGUGCCUUCAUGCGUUUUUUUAUUCUCAUUGCCCCUUCUGCCUUGUUUUGAAACUGCAGAUGAAAAUCCAAAGAUGCGGCACAGGCAGAUGGAUAACAAUGGAUAACAGUUUUACCAAAGUAAUAGUCUGUUUGGAAUAAACUUGUUCCAUUCCUGCAUUUGAUAAAAACUUUUCCAUUAAUACAUGAAAUAAACAUUAAAAAUAUGACCAUGUAAAUAUGAAAAUGAAAAAUCUUAUUAGCUUUCUAAUGUCAAAGGUUAAAAAAUCUAUUAAAUGGAAUGGGUACCGGUUAGUCGGCACAGAGGUCUGCCCUUGUGACAGAGCAUCUAAAGGGGAGGAGCUAAUGACUCAGUAGGUUUGAAAUUUGAACUUCCACAGAAUUUUGUACACUUCAGAAAUAUGAAGCUGAAGCUCAUUUUUGUUUGUUACAUGCUUCUGGGUGAGAGUUUUGGAAAUGAGAUUUUACCACUUAAAACCGUAGAGCAUGUCCCUGAAGGAACAGAGGUUACCCUCUCCUGCAACUACACUGGAGGAGCUGGAAGCGAGUUGUACUGGUAUCGACAAUUUCCCGGAUCGGCACCUGAAUUUGCAUUCUACAUUCUGGAAUCAGGCAUGAACAGGGGCGCAGAACCCCCUAUUCCUCGGCUAACUGCUCACAUCCAGAAAAACCUCAAACGUGUGGAUCUGAAGAUCUCCACUGCUACAGUCUCAGACUCUGCUGUGUACUACUGCGCUCUGAGGCCCACAGUGGAAGGAAAACCUUCAAAGUGGUACAAAAAAGGAAGGAAGCCUUCAAGCGUUGAGUUCCAGUUUGCAUACUCAAAUGUUGUGUUAUUUUAA
ensembl:lncRNA